GUUUCACAGACGUAAAGACCUCUCUAUUUAAGUGAUUGGUUAUUUUCUUUAAACUAGCUCUUUGUUCAGCUAUAGUGGUAACUGCCUUCAUUCUAAAAUGGCAUCUUUUUUUCCUUGCCAAGAAAGGAGUCAUUUCACUUUGCUUCUCUUCCCUUUUGGUUCUUUCCAUUUAUGUUUUGCAGGCACAUGGACACACCCUUUAAGCCAGGAUUUCAAUGAAAAAACCUAGCCAAUCCAGUUUUAACAUUGUCAUUGGUGGUGUUAACAUGGAGACAGUCGCCUUCUUGUUGCUCAAUAGGGUGAGACUUUGCAAAAGGCUUGGGCAUGUACAACGUGUCUAGCUUCAGCCACCUCCUUCUCCUCCAUUGCCAAAGAAGCAGAAGCCAAGGAACCAUCUCCUUAUUGUUCUCUUGCAUAAAUGGGCCGACUGCCCAUUGGGGGAGGGUGGCACCUAGACAUUUACGUGACCUGCUGUGGAAGGGUGGGGUUACUGUCUCAAAGUCCCUGCUCUUAAAAACUAGGGAAAGAAGGCCCUUCUAAGUAAAAGAAGAAGAAAAAUAAUUGACCUGUAAGCCUGCAGGCUGCUACUAAUGGGAAAGAAUGCUAGAGCACUUCACUGCUAGCAAGGACAGCUGAAGAAAAUGCAGUCCAGGCCCAUAAGAAACAUGAAGAUUGCCAGCCCCUCACCUUGCUGUUCAGCAUCAGAAGACCACCUUGGUUUUUUUUUUUGUUUUCUUUUUUGUUUUUUUUUCACCAGACACACACAAUUGAGCUCUUUUGAAUCUGGCAUCACAGAUGUUGAGACAUAUUUUUGCAGAGCAGUUUAUGAUGACAUUGAUGAGCUAUAUUGCCUCACAGUGAUCUCUCAAGGUGAGCGAAGGCAAUCCAACAGAUGUGGAAAUUAAAGUGUUGGGAGCCCCGGCACAAGCCCCAACAGGUAGAAGCCCAAGAAAGGGAGUGACAAACCAACAAACUGUUCAAACCAACAAAUGUAACUCCUGACUGGGGUGUAUUUGUUUUUGAGUGAGAAAGGAAAAGUAUAUUUAGGGAGACAAGUUGGAUAAAAAUAAGCAUUGAGGGAAAGAUAUAGGAGGCAAAUCUAAAUCAAACCUAUCUUUAAUAUGCAGCCAACUCAAAGCAUGAAAAAGCGUAUUCUAGAAAUAUUACAAAUAUUCCUAUAUAUUUUCUUUUCCUAUAAAUAGUUUCCUAUUCCACUAAUGAGGAAGCUGCUUCCAUCCAAACUGAGAGGAAAAGAUAAUUUCAAAGAUAUUAGACAUGCAGGCUAAAUUCAGUCCCAGCCAAAGAAACAGCAGAAGUUCAAAUUCAGACUGAUAUGUACCUAAUGGCUGCAGGGAUGACCCAUAUAUUGCCCAGAUGAGGAAACUGAAACUUGGAUACCUACCCAUUAUGGACUCAGGAACACUUAGGAAAGGCCACACGAGAACUCAGUCAGAAGGCAGGCACCUGCAAGGCAAGAAGAGAGGCUUCACCAGAAACCAACCCUGACAGCACAUUGAUUUUGGACUUCUAACCUUCCAGAACUGUGAGAAAAUAAAUUUCUGUUAUGUCACCUAGUCAGUGGUAUUCUGUAUGGCAGCCCAAGCAAACUAAGACAGGCACUCUUUCUUGCUUAGUGAUUUCCAAGUAUUUCAUAUGCAUUGUCUCUUUUAAUCUUCAUAAUAAACCCUGUGAGUUAGGCACUAUUAUUAUCCUCAUUCUAAACAUGAGGAAACUGAGACAUAGAAGGGUUAUGUAACUUGCCCAGAGUCACACACUGUGUCAGACCUCUCUGACUCCAGAUUGUAUUAGAAUAAGUAAAUGAAAAUAAAUAUCUUUAAGAUAUAUCAAGGCUUAAAAUUUUAAAUAUUAUGGCUCACAUGUGUCAUUUAUUCCUUCCAUUGAUAUUCUUGGAUUUCUGUCAGUUGUGCUAAAUUGAACUUAACUUGCGUUAAUAAUCCCAACCUAAAUUAACCAACGUAAUGAGCUCAUAAUGCUCACAUUUAAUCAAUACCCACUAGGGAACAGUUAUAUUAUCAUUUUUCUCACACUGUUUUGCCUUUAGGGGUGGUAUAAUCUGUUAUUGAGUAUAAAGUAGUAGGUGGAUUUAAAUCUUUUUAUUAAGCAAUGCUGUCAAGUACUACAGUUAUAGCUGCAAAUCUUGACUCAUCUGGUGGGAAAUGUGCUCUGGAUUCUAAGUCUGUUCUUCUUUAGUGCGUAUAAUUUAAUGGGAGGAACAAGACGAUCACAAAAAAUGUCUUGAAAUAUCUAUUUUUAUUUAGUGUACCAUUUAUUUUCCAAGAAUACGAAUGAGUUAUAUAGUUUUCAUACAUGGAGAACCCAUGGAAAAUAGGAACUUUGAGAAUGUAAUCUAUUGGCAGGACACCAGAAUGGUGAUAUACCCAGACUUGGAGCUAUGCAAAUAUUGGCUCCAUUUAUAGUAUUACUACUUACAACUAGUGUAGCCCAGACAAGUUACUUAACCCCUCUCUACCUCAGUUUCAUCAUGUAUAAAGUGCAACUAAUAUAUCAACUUCCAAAGGUGAAUAUAAAAAUUAAAUGAAAUGAUGUUUAUAGAGAGCUCAGCAUUCUGCCUAGCAAAUAUUAAUACUACAUGUUCAAUAAAUGCUAGCCGUAGUCAUUGACAUCUGAAUCAGGUGGGGUUUUCUCCCACAAUUUAUUUAUGUAGUCAUUCAGCAUCCUGGAAAAACUCCUGUUUGGCUCAUGGGUAUAAUCAAAACAGAUCCUGUGGGUACAUUCAAGGUACUUUCAAGCCAUCAGAAGAUAUAAUAUGAGAAGUGGGGGGGGGGGCAGGGGGAAACAGAGCUAGAAGUAGGAAAAAAAACAUUUUUCAAGAUGAAGAACUGUUAUUUUCUAGCUCCCAAGAGACUUUCCAACAAUAAACAGCAAAAAGUAGGAGAUGAUUACACUUUACACAAGAGACAGCUAUUUAUAAAGGAGUUUUAAAUGAUACACAACAAACACUAUUGGGUCCACCAACACAAUAGACAGGGGUGCAAGCUGGUCUGUAGUUAAUGCAGAUGCCUUAGGAAAUACCACAGAAAGUCACUAGAAUGAGCUUGAACCCCAGUUACAUAGACCCAGGCGUUAGACUAGCACCAGCUAAAGGCCUGGGAAGCCCCAGGCUUAACUAACAGAAAUUGGUCAAGUAGCAAACACAUGUAAGCCGUGACCCUCAGCGUGGCUGCUGUUGUCCAAAAGACCCCAGGUUGCCCUGACAUCAAAUCAUCACCCCGGUGACCCCAGUGGGAGAGGACAGACUGGUGAAAGGCUUCGAAGGAUAAGGUUAGAAAAGCCUAGCUUUGACUUAGGUUAUGUGGCAAUGACAGUUAACUAAUCCCCAAAAUCUGUUUCCCCUUCAUGGUCUGGAGUUGUGGCAACAUAGGUUGUGCAGCCAGGAAGAUAAUUUCUUAGCCAGAAAGAUAAUUGCAUCUUGGCAAUGCGAUGUAGCUGAGUUCUAGCUAAUGGGGGGUGGGGGGGUUGGGUAUGAGUAGAAGUGAUGUGUGCUACUUCUAGGCCCUCUCGUAAAACCUCCCACACUUGCCCUAUUCUCCUCCAGCCACCAGACCAAAAAAACCACUAUGAUGACCUUGGAAACUAAAUGCUAAAGAUUGCAGAAACUCCAGAUAUCAAUACCUGGGUCCCUGAAUGAUGAGGAACACCCCCUCCUCCCCACUCCCCAUUUGCCUUAAACAACUCAGGACAUUUUAUGGGCAAGAAACAAACUUCCAUUGUGUGUGAACCCUUACACAUUUUAGUGCCUGCUUGUUAUAGCAGCUAGCGUUAUCCUAACUAGCACAAGUUAUAAAUAUUUGGCAUGUGAAUAUUGCUAGAUAGAGAGAGCACAGGAAUUUAAACACUUUU